rnacentral:rRNA from 1 species
GAUGAACGCUGGCGGCGCGCCUAACACAUGCAAGUCGAACGGUUAAAGCACCUUCGGGUGUGUAUAAAGUGGCGAACGGCUGAGUAACACGUGGGCAACCUGCCCCUCGCACCGGGAUAGCCUCGGGAAACCGUGGUUAAUACCGGAUAAUAAAGCAGAUCGCAUGAUCAGCUUUUGAAAGGCGGCGUAAGCUGUCGCUAAGGGAUGGCCCCGCGGUGCAUUAGCUAGUUGGUAAGGUAACGGCUUACCAAGGCGACGAUGCAUAGCCGAGUUGAGAGACUGAUCGGCCACAUUGGGACUGAGACACGGCCCAA